AACACAUGCAAGUCGAGCGGAGAUGAGCGAAUAAUUUAUUAUUUGCGAAAUCUUAGCGGCGGACGGGUGAGUAACACGUGAGCAACCUACCUACCAGAGAGGGAUAACAUAUCGAAAGAUAUGCUAAUACCGCAUGAAGUAUACAAACCGCAUGGUAAGUAUAUUAAAGUGAUAGCGCUGGUAGAUGGGCUCGCGGACCAUUAGCUAGUUGGUAAGGUAAAGGCUUACCAAGGCGACGAUGGAUAGCCGGCCUGAGAGGGUGGACGGCCACAUUGGGACUGAGACACGGCCCAGACUCCUACGGGAGGCAGCAGUGGGGGAUAUUGCGCAAUGGGGGAAACCCUGACGCAGCGACGUCGCGUGAAGGAAGAAGGCUUUCGGGUCGUAAACUUCUAUGAAUCGGGAAGAAAAAGGACGGUACCGAUAGAUGAAGCCACGGCUAACUACGUGCCAGCAGCCGCGGUAACACGUAGGUGGCAAGCGUUGUCCGGAAUUACUGGGUGUAAAGGGUGCGUAGGCGGGUAUGCAAGUCAGAUGUGAAAUACCGGGGCUCAACUCCGGGGUGGCAUUUGAAACUGUGUAUCUUGAGUGCAGGAGAGGGAAGCGGAAUUCCUAGUGUAGCGGUGAAAUGCGUAGAGAUUAGGAAGAACACCAGUGGCGAAGGCGGCUUUCUGGACUGCAACUGACGCUGAGGCACGAAAGCGUGGGGAGCGAACAGGAUUAGAUACCCUGGUAGUCUACGCUGUAAACGAUGGAUACUAGGUGUAGGUGUGGUAAACACAGCUGUGCCGGAGUAAACACAAUAAGUAUCCCACCUGGGGAGGACGACCGCAAGGUUGAAACUCAAAGGAAUUGACGGGGGCCCGCACAAGCAGUGGAGUAUGUGGUUUAAUUCGAAGCAACGCGAAGAACCUUACCAGAGCUUGACAUCCAUGGAAGUUAGUAGAGAUACUAAUGUGCCUUCGGGAGCCAUGAGACAGGUGGUGCAUGGUUGUCGUCAGCUCGUGUCGUGAGAUGUUGGGUUAAGUCCCGCAACGAGCGCAACCCUUAUUACUAGUUACCAGCACGUAAAGGUGGGGACUCUAGUGAGACUGCCGGUGACAAAUCGGAGGAAGGUGGGGAUGACGUCAAAUCAUCAUGCCCCUUAUGUUCUGGGCUACACACGUACUACAAUGGGAGAUACAAAGAGAAGCGAAGCAGUGAUGCGGAGCAAACCUUAAAAGUCUUUCACAGUUCGGAUUGCAGGCUGAAACCCGCCUGCAUGAAGUCGGAAUUGCUAGUAAUCGCGGAUCAGCAUGUCGCGGUGAUACGUUCCCGGGCCUUGUACACACCGCCCGUCACACCAUGAGAGUCGGAAACACCCGAAGCCUGUGAGCUAACGCAAGAGGCAGCAGUCGAAGGUGGGGCCGAUGAUUGGGGUGA
rnacentral:rRNA from 1 species